CUAAAUACGAUUCUUGCACCAAACCGGGCGAAACCAUCGUGCCACGUCGCCCGCUAAUCCUCUAGCCGUUGGAUCUCGUGAAGUCGUAAUAUCAACCGUUCGAUCCGGGUGGGCGUGGUCCUCACGCCCGUUAACCCACAGAUCCGCGGCGCUCGCGAAUCGUCGCGAACCCGCUCAGCCGUCUCCGCUUGCCUCUCCGCCUGCCUCGCCGCCCGCCGCCCUUCCCCAACCGCGUCGCCUGCGCCUCCCUCCGCUUGCAACAACCGCUGUUGUCCUCCCUGCCAGGCAACCCACCGAUGUCAUCUUCCUGGCGCCGACUCCUUUCCCGCGGUGGCCACUAGCCCGCGCGAGGCCAGGCCGUGGCUUGUAGCGGCGCCCGCGAACCAGCGGAGGGCAGGUCCAGGCGAUGCGGCCACCGCCGCCGCCGCCUCCAUCGUUUUCUCCUCCCUCGACAACUCCUCUGCCGGCGUUGCCUCGGCCUCAGCCUCGUCCGAGCCGACGCCCGGGCGGUGCCACCUAAUCCUCAAGUGAUGGGCGCGCGCGUGCACUAUCCUCGAAGACCACGGCGGCGGCGGCGGCGGCUCGCUCUGGGAGGCGCUCCCCGCCAUCGCUGUCGUCGGUGGGCAGAGUUCCGGGAAGUCAUUGGUGCUCGAGAGCAUAGUGGGGAGGGACUUCCUGCCUCGUGGAUCUGGUAAUGCUGUGGCUGGAUCGCGUGCGUGCUCUUUCAUUUCAAUCUAAUGCUCCGCAGGAGGACGGCGGGAGAGAUGAGUAGCACCACGGCAGCCUUGACAUCCAAUCCCAGCUCCACCUCCGCCAUGGCUCCCGUGGAGAGGAAAGCGACGGAAAAGAGCAACAUGGCCACCGCCUCUGUCGAUGGAGACGACUGCAUAGAUAGCGGCAGCAGGGCUGUAUGGUUCAACAAUUCCAUCUCCGUGCUCAUGGCUAUCAGGAGCCUCUCAACCCCGAAAUCCAAUCAGCUUAUCUUUAGCCUGCGAGUCUCCGGACGACUGCUUCCCGGUUGGAGAAGGUGAUUGCUGGUCAAAAGAACCGAAGAAGCUCAAGUUCGCCUGGUAGUCUUGGGCCGUUGAAAAUUGACCCUUCGCUUUGGCCCUUCAGCUGGUUGGCUUCGCUCGAUGUCACACACUAGUUGGCCUUCGCCCGGCGACCAGCCCCCAACAUAGUACUAUCAUUAGCCGUUGACAAAGAACUAUUGUUUUGCACUAUAUACAUUACCAUCAAUAAUAAUAAUUUCUCAAGGAAUUGUAGACUA